rnacentral:tRNA from 1 species
ACCUGAUAAUCACGGAAGGUGAGGUUGCGUUUCGGCCGCAACAUGGGGUUUAGGCUCAUCAGGUG